rnacentral:rRNA from 1 species
GACGAACGCUGGCGGCGUGCUUAACACAUGCAAGUCGAGCGGUAAGGCCCCUUUUGGGGGGUACACGAGCGGCGAACGGGUGAGUAACACGUGGGUGACCUGCCUUCAGCUCUGGGAUAAGCCUGGGAAACUGGGUCUAAUACCGGAUAUGACCUUUGCCUGCAUGGGUGGGGGUGGAAAGAUUUGUUUUGGCUGGGGAUGGGCCUGCGGUCUAUCAGCUUGUUGGUGGGGUGAUGGCCUACCAAGGCGACGACGGGUAGCCGGCCUGAGAGGGCGACCGGCCACACUGGGACUGAGACACGGCCCAGACUCCUACGGGAGGCAGCAGUGGGGAAUAUUGCGCAAUGGGCGGAAGCCUGACGCAGCGACGCCGCGUGGGGAUGAC